UAGGGAAUCUUCCGCAAUGGACGCAAGUCUGACGGAGCAACGCCGCGUGAGUGAAGAAGGAUUUCGGUUCGUAAAACUCUGUUGUUAGAGAAGAACAGUGCAUAGAGUAACUGUUAUGCGUGUGACGGUAUCUAACCAGAAAGCCUCGGCUAACUACGUGCCAGCAGCCGCGGUAAUACGUAGGUGGCAAGCGUUGUCCGGAUUUAUUGGGCGUAAAGCGAGCGCAGGCGGUCAAUUAAGUCUGAUGUGAAAGCCCCCGGCUCAACCGGGGAGGGUCAUUGGAAACUGGUUGACUUGAGUGCAGAAGAGGAGAGUGGAAUUCCAGGUGUAGCGGUGAAAUGCGUAGAUAUAUGGAGGAACACCGGUGGCGAAAGCGGCUCUCUGGUCUGUAACUGACGCUGAGGCUCGAAAGCGUGGGGAGCGAACAGG
rnacentral:rRNA from 1 species